UGCCCCAAAUCCCUUCUGACCAGCAGCCUGGUGGGUGGUAAAGGUCACACAUUGGAUUGGGGUAAGUCCCUUACCAGCCGUGGGACUUUGGGCAAGCACUCUAAGGUCUCCGGGCCUCAGUUUCCCCAGACAGCUGGAAGGAUGAAAUGAGAGGCUGCACAGUGAGCCCUGAGCCUGACCCGACUCCCGGAUAACCCUCUGUCAAGCUCGCUGCUAUCCUGCAUCGAACCUCCGAGAUCCUACCUGGCAGCGGCGGAGGGGACAGGAUGACAGACGACCUGGCCUCCUUCAGACAGAAAUCUCCCCGCAAGGCCCAGCCAAGCGGGUGCAGACUUGCCCGCCUCCCCCACCCCCAGAACCUCCGGCAGCAGCAGACGAUCAAAAAGGAAACGUGAGCAAAACCGAACGGUUGGCCGGCGGCGCCAGCUGUUGAUUUAUUCUUGGGAAGGGCCCCGCGUCCCCCGGAACGGUGACCUCUAUUAAUGUUGACGUGUUCAAAAGCCGCGUAUUGGGAUGCAGCGCGCCUCUCCUGUCCCUUUAAAGAACCUGCCGUUCGGUUUCAAAGCCCCUGGCCGAGCGUGAGUAGUGUCUGGGAGUGCAAUUCCUCGAGGAGGAACAUUCCAUCAAACGCCGCGUGAUAAAUGGGGGCCCGAGCCACUGUAGACACUCACUUUGGACGAGCGGCCCCGCGCCGGAGACUUCACUCGCAGGGAUGAAAGGAGAUUCAUUCCAAACGGAAUGGCUGAGCAAACAGCCGGCGCCCCUGUGCCCCCUCCUUCGCUGCACCCCACCCUGGCCCCCCGGAACAGAACCCAUGACAGGGCCUCGGGGGGCCUCUGGGUGCCCGGGGUGAGCAGGGUGCUUUGCAGCCUCGGUCUCCUUGCAGGCUCGCCACUUGCAGCCUGGGGGGAGUUGGCGCCCACCUCCUGCAGGAGCUCACGAAGCCCAGAGGGGAUGGGACCUGCCUGAGGUCGCACAGCCCAGGAAGCCUCCUCAGGAUGCCAGCCCUGGCCAGGCUCUCGAGGGCAAGCAGUACCAGCCGCAGCACCUCACAGCCGGGAGACAGAGGCCCAGGUGGGCGGACGGGACUGCCCCAGGCCCCAGGGCCAAUUCAGCAGAGAGAAUUUUCUAGAAUCAGAGAAAGGAAGCGGAGCCUCUGGGCCGUGGCGGUUGGCACUUUGUGGAUUUCCAUUUUGUGGAAGUCCAUUUUCUCCGCUCUCUUCCUCCUCUUCUUCCUCCUUUCUGUAGCCAAGGGCAGAGGAGGGAGGGGGAUUCACCUGAUGAGAGCAGAGAAGUCGCCAGGGGAGAGAGAGCCUGUGGGUCACGCAGCCGCCCUGGGGAGGAGUUGGGUAAUGCCGAGUCUCCCUUUCAUGCACGAGGGCCGUCGGCGGGAUUGGAAGGAAUGGAUUAGAUGGAAGAAGCAAUCCAGUCUCAUUCUGUUCUUUGGGGUCAGUGAAGCCCAGAGGAGAGCAAGCGUUUCUAGAAUCACACAGCACUGGGGUUGGAGCCAGAGCCAGAGGAGUCCACCAUCCAGGGCAGGAACCCAAGAGAUGACACCAGGUGGCCCUCCAUCAUGCCGAGAGCUCUGGGUGGGCCCCGGCUGGCAGGUGCCUCUGAUGUUACUGGUCCAGGGAUCACACUGUGAGCAUCAGCGUUCCAGAGUUUAGAUGCCAGGUCCUUGACUCCUGCUGCAUCUUAGAAUCACCUACGGAGAUUUCAACUGCUGUCAAGGUCCAGGGCCCUCACUCUGAGAAAUUGGUUUAAUUGAUCUGGGAUGGGACAGGUAAUUAUAAAAGGUCUCUAGGUGAUUCUGGUGCAUGGUCAGGAGCUGAGAACCACUGGUCUCAGCCAAGCUUGGGACAGAGUGAGUAAGCGGCAGCUGCAAUCUGCAUGUUCUGGGAUGAAGGAGACAAAGACACACCCUGGGGCUUUGGGGCAGAUCCUUGGGCCUGGGUCCCACCAGAGGCCACCCCAGACCCAGAGCCCAGGCAGCCCCUAACCUUCCUCUUGGAGCUCCUGGGAUGACUUCUCCUGGAUCUGGCACAGCUCGGGGUCUGUUUGUUCAUCCACCCAUAUUCAAUAGACACGUAUAGGGCGCCCACUAGAGCACGGUUUAGACCCCUGGGGGCAUCCAGCUGAGGAUGAAACAGACCCAGAUCCCUGCCUUCAGGAAGCUCGUGUCCCAGUUCACAGCACCGAUGCUGUGAAGUGUGGUCCAGAAGUGCUCUGGCACCUGCGCGUCUCUGUUCACACUCACGUCUGGCAGGGUGAUGGGCCCUGAAGUUUGGGCCGGGCAGUGGGGUCAGGGGUACAGGGCCAGUGGGGGAG
ensembl:lncRNA